CACAGAUUUGGAUCUACUGUAGUUCCCAGAAACAUCAUCAGCAGAAACUAGAACCUCAUAAACACGAGUCCAGUCUCUGUUCUCUGUGGACUUCAUGUUCUCCAGAAUCCAGUUAAAUCUUUGGAUUCUGACCCUGAAAGAAAUCAUCAGAUUUUCUUCUUCAUUCUGGACUCUGUGAUCUGGAUCAUGAAGCUCCUGCAGGUUCAUGAUUUAGGAUAUUUUUAAUAAGCUCAAACUGGACGUUAGACAAAAGAUGAACUUUAAUCUUCGCUGCGGCGUGAUGGGAGGAGCUUCUGUCUUCAUUCAUAAAGAGAUCAAGUCACAACCAUGAAAAUAAACAGAUUUUUCUCUACAUGAAUGUAAGUGGUGAAAGAUUAUUUAAAAGACAAACGAAGACAGACAUAAAAUAAUGAAAAAUAAAUGACUGUUUUUGACAAUAAUUCCUGAUAACUAAACUUCCAUGUAUAUUUAUAUAAUGUACAGAACUUUAAAGAUGGAGAUAUGGAUUUGAAGAAAAUGUAUUUUUUGUGUUUGAAAUGAUUGACUGUAGCAGCCAUGAUCAUAUUUAUUUAUGAUUUCAUUUUUUUGUCACCUGAUGAGGUAAGACAUUAUUAGGCGGACCUGUUCAUGUGGGUUUGGUUUGGUUCUGUUGGUUCCGAGAGGGUGUACAGGGCCUGGUAUGUUUUGUUGACCGCUUUAGUUGUUUUUUUUAUUUUGGAACGAUCAAACACAUAUUUUUUGUUAUCCGUGUCUGUGAUGAACUUUAAUAAAUCGAGAUACAUCCAGA